rnacentral:rRNA from 1 species
CACGGAGUUAGCCGAUCCUUAUUCCUACAGUACUGUCAAGAUUUCUCACGAGAAAUUGUUUCUUCCUGUAUAAAAGCAGUUUACGAUCCAUAGAACCUUCUUCCUGCACGCGGCAUGGCUGGUUCAGAGUUGCCUCCAUUGACCAAUAUUCCUCACUGCUGCCUCCCGUAGGAGUCUGGUCCGUGUCUCAGUACCAGUGUGGGGGAUCUCCCUCUCAGGACCCCUACCCAUCAUCGUCUUGGUGUGCCGUUACCACACCAACUAACUAAUGGGACGCAUGCUCAUCUUGUACCGUUGGAACUUUAAUAAUUAAGUGAUGCCACUCAAUAAUACUAUGAGGUAUUAAUCCAAAUUUCUCUGGGCUAUCCCUCUGUACAAGGUAGAUUGCUAUACGCGUUACGCACCCGUGCGCCGGUCUCAAACACCGAAGUGUUCUACCCCUCGACUUGCAUGUGUUAGGCCU